rnacentral:lncRNA from 1 species
GCCUGUGCUCUGGAGCUUGAUCCGAAAGCUUCCACAGUGAGGACUGCUCCGUGGGUCAGAAGUUGAGUUACAGGAAGAUUCGCCAGAGAUUUAUCGCCUGGCCCCAAACUUGGAGAGCCUCGUUGUCAUAAACAGCCAUCUAUUGUCUAGACUUUUAUCUCCGGGGUAAGAGAGCACCAGGCACUGAGGCCUGGGAGUUCCACAGACCAACACCCCUGCUCCUGGCGGCUCCCACCCGGGACUUAGACCCUCAGGUCCCUAAUAUCCCGGAGGUGCUCUCAAUCAGAAAGGUCCUGCUCCGCUUCGCAGUGGAAUGGAACGGAUUUAGAAGCCUGCAGUAGGGGAGUGGGGAGUGGAGAGAGGGAGCCCAGAGUUACAGACGGCGGCGAGAGGCCCCAAAGAGUCUGAUGUUUACAAGACCAGAAAUGCCACGGCCGCGUCCUGGCAGAGAAAAGGCUGAAAUGGAGGACCGGCGCCUUCCUUAUAAGUAUGCACAUUGGCGAGAGAAGUGCUGCAACCUAAACCAGCAAUUACACCCAAGCUCGUUGGGGCCUAAGCCAGUACCGACCUGGUAGAAAAAGCAACCACGAAGCUAGAGAGAGAGCCAGAGGAGGGAAGAGAGCGCCAGACGAAGGUGAAAGCGAACCACGCAGAGAAAUGCAGGCAAGGGAGCAAGGCGGCAGUUCCCGGAACAAACGUGGCAGAGGGCAAGACGGGCACUCACAGACAGAGGAGUGAUUAUGCAGUGGGACCCUGCUGCAAACGGGACUUUGCACUCUAAAUAUAGACCCCAGCUUGGGACAAAAGUUGCAGUAGAAAAAUAGACAUAGGAGAACACUUAAAUAAGUGAUGCAUGUAGACACAGAAGGGGUAUUUAAAAGACAGAAAUAAUAGAAGUACAGAAGAACAGAAAAAAAAUCAGCAGAUGGAGAUUACCAUUCCCAAUGCCUGAACUUCCUCCUGCUAUUAAGAUUGCUAGAGAAUUGUGUCUUAAACAGUUCAUGAACCCAGAAGAAUGCAAUUUCAAUGUAUUUAGUACACACACAGUAUGUAUAUAAACACAACUCACAGAAUAUAUUUUCCAUACAUUGGGUAGGUAUGCACUUUGUGUAUAUAUAAUAAUGUAUUUUCCAUGCAGUUUUAAAAUGUAGAUAUAUUAAUAUCUGGAUGCAUUUUCUGUGCACUGGUUUUAUAUGCCUUAUGGAGUAUAUACUCACAUGUAGCUAAAUAGACUCAGGACUGCACAUUCCUUGUGUAGGUUGUGUGUGUGUGGUGGUUUUAUGCAUAAAUAAAGUUUUACAUGUGGUGAA